rnacentral:rRNA from 1 species
AGUGAACGCUGGCGGUAGGCCUAACACAUGCAAGUCGAACGGCAGCACAGUAAGAGCUUGCUCUUACGGGUGGCGAGUGGCGGACGGGUGAGGAAUACAUCGGAAUCUACUUUUUCGUGGGGGAUAACGUAGGGAAACUUACGCUAAUACCGCAUACGACCUACGGGUGAAAGCAGGGGAUCUUCGGACCUUGCGCGAUUGAAUGAGCCGAUGUCGGAUUAGCUAGUUGGCGGGGUAAAGGCCCACCAAGGCGACGAUCCGUAGCUGGCCUGAGAGGAUGAUCAGCCACACUGGAACUGAGACACGGUCCAGACUCCUACGGGAGGCAGCAGUGGGGAAUAUUGGACAAUGGGCGCAAGCCUGAUCCAGCCAUACCGCGUGGGUGAAGAAGGCCUUCGGGUUGUAAAGCCCUUUUGUUGGGAAAGAAAAGCAGCAGGUUAAUACCCCGCUGUUCUGACGGUACCCAAAGAAUAAGCACCGGCUAACUUCGUGC